rnacentral:rRNA from 1 species
UAGGGAAUCUUCCACAAUGGGCGAAAGCCUGAUGGAGCAACGCCGCGUGUGUGAUGAAGGCUUUCGGUCGUAAAGCACUGUUGUAUGGGAAGAACAGCUAGAAUAGGAAAUGAUUUUAGUUUUGACGGUACCAUACCAGAAAGGGACGGCUAAAUACGUGCCAG